rnacentral:lncRNA from 1 species
AAAAAAUAAAAAAUUGAAGCCUUUAGAAGGGAAGGUUACAAAUUGUUUGGAUUGAAAGAAAUUGCAAAGUAAACAUAGACCUGUGUAAAUGUGUUAAUUGUAGUGAGCACACUAAUUAACCUGAGAUAGAGGGAGAGAUCUGUUUGCGCCAAAAAUGCGUCCUUUUGCGCCACAACUUUUUUUCUCCAAUGCUACGUUUGCG